GUUGUAUUGUAUGCAGGCUCGCAGAAAAAGGGCUUUGUUUAUGUUCAGCCUUUUGAUUUGGCGUUUCUGUUUAACGUUGCUUGUGGCAUUGAAUUUAUAUAGACAUGUCAUGCUGCUUCCUAUUCAAGAUACUGAAGGCCUUUUUUGUGCCUCUCUUCAGUGGAGUGUUCUCCGCAUAGACAACAGAAGGGUACAGGAGGUAAACAGGAAGUGAACUGUGUGUGUGGUGUGUGAUGUCCCUUCUCACAACAGUCAGCAGUUUCAAGUGCAUUCAUACAUUGGUGUGACCGUGACAGAUAAGGUACAACAUCCCUCCUAUCCGUUUCAUCGGUUUAAAAAAAGAUGCCCCCCCCACACUUUUGAGAUGAAGUUGGAAGUGAUCUCAUUUAACUGAAUUGGGGAGAAACUGAGAGCAUACGCUAUUUAUUAACUACUUGCAUAAGGUGAGUUAACUGCUUGCAUAUUUUAAGCAAUUUUUAAAGUUGUACAACUUUUUGGUAAACAUUUCGUGCUUCUUAUAAUUAAAAAAUGAAACACCAUACUGACAAUUUGGAUGACAUUUUAGAAUCAGUAACAAAAUCUUUUAGCCAUAUAUACACACGUGUGUACCACAUGACAGGAUUCAAUACAAAGUUAAUUAACAAAUCUUACACUUUAUAAUGUAAUUUCAUUAGUGCUAAUGUUCCCCUGUCUAAAAUGUCAACCAAAUUUCGCAAAUGCAUCUGAUGUUUACAAGCAAUCCUGUAGAAAUAUGUUGUUAUUACUGUAAACAGUAUAAUCUCCAGGUCUACAUACUGUAGCUAUAUAGUGUUUCACAUCUAAUUCACAAGUCUACAUCUCUACAUGGCUCUGUAGUGUUUUCACAUCUAAUUCACAGGUCUACAUCUCUACAUGGCUCUGUAGUGUUUUCACAUCUAAUUCACAAGUCUACAUCUCUACAUGGCUCUGCUAGUGUUUUCAUCUAUUCACAGUCUACAUUCUACAUGCUCUGUAGUGUUUUCACAUCUAAUUCACAGGUCUACAUCUCUACAUGGCUCUGUAGUGUUUUCACAUUUAAUUCAAAGGUCUACAUCUCUACAUGGCUCUGUAGUGUUUUCACAUCUAAUUCACAGGUCUACAUCUCUACAUGGCUCUGUAGUGUUUUCACAUCUAAUUCACAGGUCUACAUGGCUCUGUAGUGUUUUCACAUCUAAUUCACAAGUCUACAUCUCUACAUGGCUCUGUAGUGUUUUCACAUCUAAUUCACAGGUCUACAUGGCUCUGUAGUGUUUUCACAUUUAAUUCACAGGUCUACAUCUCUACAUGGGCUCUGUAGUGUUUUACAUCUAAUUCACAGUUCUACAUCUCUACAUGGCUCUGUAGUGUUUUCACAUCUAAUUCACAGGUCUACAUCUCUACAUGGCUCUGUAGUGUUUUCACAUCUAAUUUACAAGUCUACAUCUCUAUAUGGCUCUGUAGUGUUUUCUGUGGCUUACUGCCGGUGUAGCACGCCUGUUUGUGUGUGUGUUGUUUCUGUGAGUAUAUCGUAGUUUUAGUAGUCCACUGUAUCAAAACUGCUGUCUGCUUGCCCCGUCCUCAUAUCUAAAGAGCAGGGCAGGCUUCUAAUAAUGGGUACAUGUAGGGGUGUGCGCUUGUGUUUGCUUUACAUCGUCUUGGAUACAGUAAAGUCUGUUUUCUGAUGGUUUGUGUCUUGGUAUGCAUCACAAAUUAGCAACUGACUUUUUGAUGACUUCAUGAUUUUUAAGUGAUGACAUAAUCAACAAAACUUGAGUAUUUAUAGUAGUAACAGUGACAUGGCAAAGCCAUUCUCAUUAGGCUGAUGUCAAACCACAGCUACUGACUACUGUUACCACCUCAGCAGUGAUAUGCAUUCAAUAAGGUACCAGUUGUUUAUGAAAAAGGAUUGCAGCUAUAUGAUGGGUACUGGAUGUGUUUAAACCUCUUAACCUAAUUGUGACAGCAUUGACUAUGAUAUCUUACAAAAUAUAAAUAAGUAUCUAUUUCUUUUGUUUUCUGGGGGGUGGGGGGUGUGGCCUAGCCAGUCUCCAGACCUUAAUCCCAUAGAAAAUAUGUGGAGGGAGCUGAAGGUUUGAGUUGCCAAACAUCAGCCACGAAACCUUAAUGACUUGGAGAAAUCUGCAAAGAGGAGUGGGACAAAAUCCCUCCUGAGAUGUGUGCAAAUCUGGUGGCCAACUACAAGAAACUUCUGACCUCUGUGAUUACCAACAAGGGUUUUGCCACCAAGUACUAAGUUAUGUUUUGCAGAGGGGUCAAAUACUUAUUUCCCUCAUUAAAAUGCAAAUCAAUUUAUAACAUUUUUGACAUGCGUUUUUCUGGAUUUUUUUGUUGUUAUUCUGUCUCUCACUGUUCAAAUAAACCUACCAUUAAAAUUAUAGACGAAUCAUGUCUUUGUCAGUGGGAAAUGUACAAAAUCAGCAGGGGAUCAAAUACUUUUUUCCCUCACUGUAUGUGUGUGUAAAUAUUGUACAUAAUCAAUGCUGUAAUUUGGGGACUCUGUAUGCUUUUUGAUUGAGUGAUGCGUCUCCAGCUUUGUUCAAGCGAUAACUCCAUGUCGUACAUCUGUGUCUCCUCGACUACUGUGUAUAUAAACUUGCAUGCGUGUAUGAAAACGUAUUUUUCUUCUUCUACCAGAAUAAGGUUUUUUUAUUUUUAAAGUUAAUGUGUCACUAUAGUUAGUUUUUGUUUAGCCAUUUUGUUGAAGUGAACAAGGUGUGUGCUCAGAUUAAUAUAGAUGUGUAUAUUAUUGUGAAAGGAAUGCCAAUCGUGGGCAGGUCUAUAAACAUGAAGCUGUGUAGAGAAAUAUUUGCCAAACGAUGCCCUGCGAAUAUUGUUUUAAUUAAAGGGGAUUGGCAGGAAUAGCUGGCAGUGCUGUUUAUGAGCGUCAAGUAUAUGAAAUAAAGAAUGAUGUUCUCUAGCAAAUUAAAUCAUGUGUUCCUCUGGAUAUAAAGCUACACAACAUUGAGUACAUUGCAGCUUACAUAAAUAGGUCUACUGCAGGUCAUUUUGGAGACAAUAUUAUGUCAGAGUGCAUGCACACUGGAGAGCAUGGGCGCAAAAACACUACACCUCAAUAACAAUAGCAUUGUUUAGUUCUCACAAUCACAACUCAAAAAAUGUAAUCGUAUGAGUUACUGUGCCUUCAAUGUUUGCAAAUCAGAUAUCAAUUGUUGUUGGGAAUAAAAAAGGUCAAUUUUCAAUUAGUAUUGUUGGGUUCUGAGAAUAUGAAAUAUACUUAUUCAUGUCACUGAGGAAGAGAGGGUAAUGUAUGAUGUUUACAUUAUGUCAGGAUAUGUUAUUGUUAGCCAUCAGGGAUCCUAUGGGAGGGAUCCUCUGGGAGGAGAAGAGACACAGUCUGGUACCAGGCACCAAGACAGACGUGAGUUGAGCAAGGAAGCGAUCACAUGUGGCAGGCAUUGAUAAGGGGAGAGAUCUUUGGAUUAGACAUUAAGGGGGUUGAGGUCAGGUCAGGUCACCUUAAGGGAGAAGGAAGGGUUUAUUACCCCAUCACUUCGUCUUCCUGUCGAACCAUGAAAUAUGUCAGGGUUGGAGAGAAGGAGGAGUGCAUCUAAAUUGGAGUAUAUAUACUUGUGUUGGUGGAAACAUGUUUUGUCUGAUGCAGCUGUAUUGACCCUCUGGGAGAAUUAACUUGGUUAAGCUUUCAUAGUGUCCGUAGAGUUUUUUACUCUGAGAAUUAGAACCUAACAGUAUAGUCUACUAUAAUUCCAGUCUAUAAAGUAGGAAAAUAUACAGUGGAACCAAAGUAAGGGCUUAU
ensembl:lncRNA